UGUAGUACCAAACACAUUUCUUGUUACUGGAGAUAUUGCUGAAUCUGUGCAAGCAUUUGUCGUGUACUUCGACAGCACAAUUAAAUCUGGACUUGAUAGUGUCUCUGAAUGGCUUCCCCUGACAGAAGAGUGGUUACCAGAAGUCAUGAUCCUGGUUUGUAACAGAGUAUCUGAAAAUGGCGUUAACAGACAGAAAGCUCAAGAGUGGUGCAUCAAGCAUGGCUUUGAGCUGGUAGAACUCAGCCCUGAGGAGCUGCCUGAUGAAGAUGAUGAUUUCCCAGAGUCCACUGGAGUGAAACGAAUUGUACAAGCUUUGAAUGCCAAUGUAUGGUCCAACGUGGUCAUGAAGAACGACAGGACCCAGGGCUUUGGUCUUCUCAGUACGUUAGCUGGUGCGAACUGUAGCCUUGGGUCAGAAGAGAACCAAGAUACAGAAUCCAAUCCAUCAUCAUCAGACAGGGAAGAAUCCCAUUUAGACAACAGCGAAGAUGGAGCUAGCACAAACAACCUACAGAUUGACAACACUGUGGAUCCCAUGUUGGAUAUGGACAUUCAAGAGUUAGCCAGCCUAACCACAAGAGACGGUGACCUGGAGAACUUUGAAAGGGUGUUUUCAAAGCUGAAAGAAAUGAAAGAUAAAGCUGCGACGUUGCCUCAUGAACAAAGAAAACUACAUGCGGAAAAGGUGGCCAAAGCGUUCUGGAUGGCAAUUGGAGGGGACAGAGAUGAAAUUGAAGGGCUCUCCUCGGAUGAAGACAACUGAGUUCUUCGGUAGCUGGAUACAUUCAAGGAACCGCACCUACCAGGGCCACCUCUUGAACUGAAUGACAGAAGAGAGCUGCCGGGCCUUGCCGUGACUCUGCCAUCUCCUCCCGUUCUCUCCUCCUUUUUCCCCAGCCCAGGGAGCUGUAAUAAAGAGCUGAAGGUGGUUUCCUUCCAAGUAGGGAACAGUUUUCCAUGUUUGCUUCUUGGUAGCUGGAGGCUCUUUUUUUCUUUUCUAAAUAGUUGUUGUGCAAUAGCGGUAAAUGGCAAAAGUGCAGAGCAAAUUAACGGAGCGCAGUGAUAACGCGCUUGAAUCCUUUAUAAAACCAGUCCUUCACACAUGCGAGAUCUUCACACGCACGUGACAGUUUAUUUACAUUUAAUAACGUUGCUUCUGCCAAAGAUUGGCAGGACUGCACGGACAAUAUUUUGCUGCUAACAAUAUUUUGGUACUAACAUACAAAGAAGCCUUUCAAACGAGUUUGUGCUGUAAGCGUGUCUUGUUUGUAGAUGCAGACCCUGCUUUAAGACAGCACAGUUCCUCGAGGUAGGAAGCGUGGCUAGGGGCUACUAGGAAAUCGUUUUAAUGAUCCUCAAAGAGUAUCGCACUGGAUUUUUAAAGCAAAGUUUACUUUGCUGGCAGCUUGGUUUUUUAUUUUGUGGGUUGGUUUUUUUGCUCUGCAGAGGCUUUGGUUUUGGCUACAGAAUUUCUUUAUAAAAUAGACAUUACAGAAAUGACUAAAAGGGGCAUUAGCACAAAAGCAAACCUGAAACUUGCUGGGUCUUUUACUGAGCUUCUCUUUGUGUGCCACAGCAUCGUUCAGCAACAACUAAGGAAUCCCCAACUUGGUUUUACAUCCUUGUAACGGUUUUGAAGUUGUUAGCUUUGCCUGGUACUGGUGCUCCAGUGCCGAACUGGAACCGCUCGGGAGCAGCUCUGCAGCUCAGUUAAUGCACUGCGGCUCGAUGUAGCGGCUUUUCCCAGGUAAAGAUGGUCGCAAGAACCUCUAGAUAAUCGGUAAAUGAGUUUUAAGACACAAUUCUGAAGGAAAACACGAUGAUGCUUCAGAGAAAAUGGGAAGCAUCAGUUUCUGGCUGUGGUCUUUGCAAGCAAGCUCAAAAGGAAAGCGAUUGCACCUGCGUUAGCAGAGAGCAUCAAAAAAGGGUUUGGCAAACACUCCAAAGGCUGCGGAUCAUCUUUAAACUAAAGAGAACUGAAGAAAUUCCCAUUAGCUGUGGCACAGCCGUCACUGAACCUCAUGCAAACACACUACAGGGAGUUAAAUUUUCAAGGCUCCAUCAGUCUACAGGUUUCCUGUUUUGACCGUGGGUGUUUGUUUUCCCUGGGGGCCCACAGGAGCGGCUGAUGGCACGGGAGUAACCGAGGGGGGCCGUGACGGAGAGCAGAGACGGAGCACGUGAAAGGCAAUGAAGAAAUCAAACCGGUACCGAAACGUCACCUUCCUGUUGACCUUACGAGCACACGCGCCGGCGGCAGUGCAGAUCCUCCAGGGAGCGACGCGGCGAGGGGCAGCCUGCGCUCACGGUGGCACGGGCCGUGCGGCAGGGAAGGGUUGCAGAGUGCCCGUCUCUCCCCACGCCAUCGCUCACGGCCCAGUGGCCUCAGAUCUGGUUUAGGGCGUCUCAGAUGGUUUUUCUCUCUCUGACUGUAAUUUCCCUCCUCCAAGAUCAGCAGGCGAGCUGCUCUCUUGGACAGGCUGCUUUCCACACACAGAGAGGAGCCGCUGAAUCCUCUGCAUCUCCACCAGCGUUCGCUUGGACAGCGGCACUUUUUAAUCUGAAGGAGCAUUUGCAGAGCCGCCUGGAGCCGGGGAGCUGCCAGCAGCGCUGGGGGAGAAGCCCAGCACUGAGCCAGGAGAACACGCAGGGACAAGGAUGAAACCUCGGUGCAGAACCACCCAUCGCACGCAUAAACGCAGAGACCCCCUGUGCCCCUCGUUCCAGACCGGCCGACUGCCGGUGGGGCUCUCCCAGCUCUGCUCCGGCGCGUAGGCGCUGCCGCAGGAGCUGUCCCGGGGAGGGCUGGGGACGACGCUUCCGAGGGGACUUCCCUGCCUGUACCGACCAACCCCUUGCUACCCAGCUUUUGCCUGAAACCUCCACAGAACGUCGAUCUGCUCUUUAUUUGGCCUGUGGCUUUGAGAUACUUUACUUCUUAUCAAACCUGUAUUUUGCUUCGGCUUCCCAGUUUCGGUGCAGACAAGAGGACUGCGGUACCGAAAGCCGCGACGUCUUCGGGUGACAACGAGCAGAACUCCCAGCUCAGAGCCGAUUUACUACAUCACGCUCGAGUUUUGGCAACCCCAGUACAAAAACCUGGCCGAGACCCUUUUUAUUACCACAUUGUUGGACAAGUUGAGUGGAAAAAAAAAAAAAGUAUUCUCGUAAAUCCUCUGUCAGGAAAAACAACAACAAAAAAUAAUAAUCUGAAUUUCAGCAAAACCCUAGGAGGGAUGCUAGGAGCUCACAGACUUAGAUCAUAGCGUGCCUCGGCUCGGUGAUGCUGUUUGGAGAAUGCCCUCGCUGGGGCCAGCCGAAUGCCAGUGUAUACGUAUUUUUACCUAUUUUUUUCCCCCCAGCAUGAUACCUGACCCGACUAGCUGCCUCCUACUGCAGCCGCUGCUCUGCUGGUGUUUCAUGGCCCCGAGCCGCCCUCGGCUGCAGUCCCAGGAAAGCCAACAGCAGCAGGGACACAUCCACAGCUCCCAGUUCCCUGCAGCUGACCAGGGUGGGCAUGAAGGACCCCGCAGCCGCCGCCGUUCAAGCUCGGCUGCCAUUCUGCUUCUGACCAUGGUGAUCGCUGCCUUGAGCGGCAGGGAGGAGCAGCAGCAUCGCUGCAAAAAGAGGCUGCAGACUCCAGAAACCCAUUUUAACAUGGCCCAACAGCCAAAAAUACAGCCUGGGAGGGCAAGACGGGAAAACUUUUCCACUAGGAACAUAGCGCAGCCAGGGAACAGCGUAUCUCUGGAGGAGGUGGGUAGAAUCUCUGUUUUUUUAAGAUUUUUCUUCAAGAUUUAUCUGGACAAAAGCCCCGCUGACCUGAUCUAGUGUUGGCAAGAGUCCUGGAUCAAGCACGAGGCUGGACUAGAGGCCUCCAGUAGGCUCCUCCAACCAUCACUUCUGUGAUCUGGUAGGAACAGCGGGGCACUCUGAAACCAGGUCUGAGAGAAGUCAUCCCUUUCGGUCAGCACCCACUGAUGGGAUGAACGCUACCGAGCUGGAGCGGGACGCGGGCCGUUCCGAGAGCGUCGACUACUUAACACCUCGUCACCAGCGCUUCGGACCGGGGACGACGUUUGUGCCCAGCCACCUGCCUGCCUCUGUUCUGCAAGAGCAAACAACAGAGCGGCCAAACCCGCGACGGCAGCACAGGACUUAAAAAACAAGAUACAAUUCCUCAACAUGGGGCCACCAGAGGUGUCUUCGGGCCUGCCUCAGGACUGGGCACCGAGGACAGAGCAGUAGCCGCGCCGCUGCAGCUCCUGCAUUUCCCGAUUCACCGCCCUAAGGUGAAAAUGCAGCCACAGUUUAGCAGGCCGGGCAAAGAGUGAAUCUUCAGCUACGUCCAACUUUUCCAGCAGUUCAACAAUAAAUCCUUCCAGCGCUCCGCUUCUACUCACCUUUAAAUCCCGUUGGUUAAAAGCAUGAGUUGGAAUUUUCAAAUUAUUUUUUAUAUCUGGCUUUAAAAUCUUGUACAAAACUGUCCCAACUGUAAAAAUAAUGAAGAUCUUACCUGCAACGGGGAUCUCGUGCGAAUUACUGGGAACAACCUUAUUAUACAGAGCUAAGGAUGCCGUUGUGGUUUCAGAACUCCAAAUGCUUUCGGUUCAUGUCCUUAAAUACAUUUUUACAAUACCCUUAUUUUCUCACGAGCCUCAGUUUUCAAA